ensembl:lncRNA
UCCAUCUCCCGCUUGGGGCUUCUCUGGACUCUCAUUUGCUGCAUCAACAAAUGAAGGUUCCCUGACUUGGCACCUCCUUAUGCUGAACAUCAGCAGACUCCAUACUGAGCAGGAUUUGGGAGUACAGCUGUUAAUACCAAUAAUUAUGUAACCGUACUCGUUGCCCUCUUAGAGCACACCGCAGAAAAAUAGAUUGAUAAAAGUGAACAAAAAUAUAAACAUCAUAUGUGGUAAUGGCUCCCAAGCAGAGAAUCUGAACCUUACAGCAGCCCCACCUAAGAUUUAUGAACAGGAAACCGGGAAGGGGAAUGACAUUUGAAGUUUUUUAUCAGGUGUGCUUCCUGGCCAAAGAAGUCAGAUGAGUGCAUGAGCAGCCCCUUUGAGGACAAGGCUUGGAUUCCCAGGAGCAGACAAGGAACUCUGUGGGCAUACUCCAAGGAAACUGAAUACUGGCAUCCAGCCCUGUCUCCAGGCAAGCAUGCUGAGGACGAAACAUUAGCCACAUGUAAACAACAUGGGAUUUGUAAGUACACAAAGAAUAUGAUUUCCUAUGAAAUCUGCAUUAUAAAAGGAGGGUAGCAUGAAGUAGAGAGAUGCUAUAGACUAGGACUCCAGUUACACAGUGGUUUCCAUAUGGAUUUGUCAGACAUGACUAGGAAGGGUGCUGGGAACCUGUGCAGACUUGGACAAACACAAAUGCUUUUCUGUAAUGGGAUCCAAGAGGAAAACAGUAUCAGAUGAAAGUUCCUUACCCAAGGAUGACCUCUCUUCAGUGAGAAGGCCAGAGUUAUGUGUGGCUUCCAUCUCAAGACCUCGGGUCGAAUGUGUGAGUCAGGUGUCCUUGUGCCUGCUGUUCUCCAGUGCUUUUAACAAGAAGGCUCCCUCCUUCAAAUUGGCAAGCUUGAGGGUGGCGAGGUCUGUCCCUGCU